rnacentral:lncRNA from 1 species
UUUAUGUUCAAAUUAGUGUCGAUCAUAUUAUUUAGAGCAAGGAUUUAAGUGCCUUGGCACGGGAUCGUGCCGGAAACUUACCGGUACGGUACGAUACGAUACGGUGCGUGUCGAGCCGUGCCGAUGCGUGCCGGUCAAAAAAAAUUUUGUGUGCCGACGCAUAAUAGCAUGAAAUAUUUAUUUUCUUUAGCAACAAAAUAUUUUAACUAUUUAUUAGAAAAAAUUACUUACUAAUUUAAAGAAUGGAGGGUUUUGAACUGUGCCAUCGGCACGGGAUCUGUAUCGUCCUGAUAUCUUGUUAGUACGAUGGAUACGGCCCGUAGCGACGGGCACUUAAAAUUUUGGUUUAGAAUGUAAAUCAUUAUGGUGUUUUAUAAAGGUUUGGAUUAAAAUUGAUUUCUUUUACUUACUAUAAU